UUGUCAUUGUCAUUAUCGAUAUCAUUGUCGUCGUCGUCAUCGCCGUCGUCGCCGUCUUCGCCGUCGUCAUCAUCAUUAUUAUUGUUGUUAUUAUUAUUAUUAUUGUUAUUAAGCCUUUCCCCCUAGUAUAAUAAUUACAGUUCUCCUGCGCUUUCUAUCGAGUGAUGCUCCUUUCAUCCAGCUCAAACACGGUUAGCGAUGAACCUAACUAUUUUCACCACAGUUCGAAAGCAGAUUAAAGAAAGGAAGAAAAUAUUGUUUCCCGAAAUACGCGUGAUUCGGUCAGCAUCAAUUAGAACGGCAGUUGAUAGUGAUGUGAAGCCGCAGCAACAAUCCUCGGGAAGCAGCAGUGGUCAAACGGGUUCGGCGGUUCCUGGACCAAGCCCUAUCGGAGCAGGACAGAGUCCCAUCGGUCACCCGCCGGUUAGUCUUCAAGGACCCUUGAGCCCACCUCCGUUCAAUUCCACGGGACAGCCGUCUCAC